rnacentral:rRNA from 1 species
UACGGAGGGGGCUAGCGUUGUUCGGAAUUACUGGGCGUAAAGCGCACGUAGGCGGCCAACUAAGUCAGACGUGAAAUCCCUCGGCUUAACCGGGGAACUGCAUCUGAUACUGGAUGGCUUGAGUUCGGGAGAGGGAUGCGGAAUUCCAGGUGUAGCGGUGAAAUGCGUAGAUAUCUGGAGGAACACCGGUGGCGAAGGCGAGUCUCUGGACGACUCCUGACACUGAGGCACGAAAGCCAGGGGAGCAAACAGG